rnacentral:rRNA from 1 species
ACGAACGCUGGCGGCACGCUUAACACAUGCAAGUCGAACGAGAGAAGAGAAGCUUGCUUUUCUGAUCUAGUGGCGGACGGGUGAGUAACACGUGAGCAAUCUGCCUUUCAGAGGGGGAUACCGAUUGGAAACGAUCGUUAAUACCGCAUAAUAUAAUUGAACCGCAUGAUUUGAUUAUCAAAGAUUUAUCGCUGAAAGAUGAGCUCGCGUCUGAUUAGCUAGUUGGUAAGGUAACGGCUUACCAAGGCGACGAUCAGUAGCCGGACUGAGAGGUUGAUCGGCCACAUUGGGACUGAGACACGGCCCAGACUCCUACGGGAGGCAGCAGUGGGGAAUAUUGCACAAUGGAGGAAACUCUGAUGCAGCGAUGCCGCGUGAGGGAAGAAGGUUUUAGGAUUGUAAACCUCUGUCUUCAGGGACGAAAAAUGACGGUACCUGAGGAGGAAGCUCCGGCUAACUACGUGCCAGCAGCCGCGGUAAUACGUAGGGAGCGAGCGUUGUCCGGAAUUACUGGGUGUAAAGGGAGCGUAGGCGGGAUCGCAAGUCAGAUGUGAAAACUAUGGGCUUAACCCAUAAACUGCAUUUGAAACUGUGGUUCUUGAGUGAAGUAGAGGUAAGCGGAAUUCCUAGUGUAGCGGUGAAAUGCGUAGAUAUUAGGAGGAACAUCAGUGGCGAAGGCGGCUUACUGGGCUUUAACUGACGCUGAGGCUCGAAAGCGUGGGGAGCAAACAGGAUUAGAUACCCUGGUAGUCCACGCCGUAAACGAUGAUUACUAGGUGUGGGGGGACUGACCCCUUCCGUGCCGCAGCAAACGCAAUAAGUAAUCCACCUGGGGAGUACGACCGCAAGGUUGAAACUCAAAGGAAUUGACGGGGGCCCGCACAAGCAGUGGAGUAUGUGGUUUAAUUCGACGCAACGCGAAGAACCUUACCAAGUCUUGACAUCCUGCGACGGAUAUAGAAAUAUGUCUUUCCUUCGGGACGCAGAGACAGGUGGUGCAUGGUUGUCGUCAGCUCGUGUCGUGAGAUGUUGGGUUAAGUCCCGCAACGAGCGCAACCCUUACUGUUAGUUGCUACGCAAGAGCACUCUAGCAGGACUGCCGUUGACAAAACGGAGGAAGGUGGGGAUGACGUCAAAUCAUCAUGCCCCUUAUGACCUGGGCCUCACACGUACUACAAUGGCUGUCAACAGAGGGAAGCAAAGCCGCGAGGUGGAGCAAACCCCUAAAAGCAGUCUUAGUUCGGAUUGUAGGCUGCAACCCGCCUACAUGAAGUCGGAAUUGCUAGUAAUCGCAGAUCAGCAUGCUGCGGUGAAUACGUUCCCGGGCCUUGUACACACCGCCCGUCACGCCAUGGGAGUCGGUAACACCCGAAGCCUGUAGUCUAACCGCAAGGAGGACGCAGUCGAAGGUGGGAUUGAUGACUGGGGUG